GAUGCACGACGACAGAACAGCAACAGAAAUACAACACAGUCGUGAACUAAAUGGAUCGGCGCAUCACCGCCGCGGAUCGUCUCACUGCCCUCAUCGAUGACUGUGUCCGUAAAAAAUUGUUGUAACGCGUACUAAUUCUGCAUAGAAGUACUUAUCACCUAUCGCACAAGCAAGCAAAAAAAGAGAGAGUAUAGCUCCUGCCCCGUCUCUCUGCGCGAGAGCUUCGUGUCGCUUGGCAGCGAGUGCGGAGAGAGAGAGAGCUUUCGGAGCAGUAGCUGAUAUCGAGAUAUGAAGUCUCGGCUGAAAUUCGUGAUCGCAGGUUCCGCGAGAAUGGCGGUGCCGGUUAUAUUUUAGGUUAACACUCGCGGAGCAACAACGCGCCCAUCAUCCUCAUCACUCUCUCUAGCGCUCUCUCUUUCUUUCUCUCCCUCUUUCUCGGAUAUCUCUAUACCGCGUCCUACUGUUCUCGUGACACGAGAAUCGAACAUGGAGAUCUACGACCCGGACGAGGAUGCCAUCAAUGACGAGAUCUUUCGGGAUCUCGAUCCGUCUACGUGGACCCACCGUGAGGACGACUAUGACCUGGACGACGUCAACACCUUCUUCCACCGGGUCGACUCCGAUCAGAUCAUCUACGAGGAAAAGAAGAAGUGCAAGUACAUUGGUAAAUACGUCAUGGGAGACUUGCUGGGAGAGGGUAGCUAUGGCAAGGUCAAAGAAAUGCUGGACUCGAUCACGCUCUGCAGGAGGGCAGUAAAGAUUCUGAAGAAGAAGAAGCUGAGGAGGAUACCCAAUGGGGAGAUCAACGUACAAAGAGAAAUACAAUUGUUAAAAGUGUUGAAGCAUAAAAAUGUUAUCGGUCUUGUGGAUGUCUUUUAUAAUAAUGAAAAGGAGAAACUAUAUAUAAUAAUGGAAUUUUGUGUUGGUGGUCUUCAGGACAUGUUAGAAAGUACACCGCUCAAAAAAUUCCCAGUGUGGCAAGCCCAUGGUUAUUUUUGUCAGCUAUUAGAUGGUUUAGAAUAUCUUCAUGGUAAAAGCAUUGUUCAUAAGGAUAUUAAGCCUGGAAAUUUACUUUUGACACUUGAUGGUACCUUAAAAAUUACUGACUUUGGUGUUGCAGAGGCACUAGAUAUGUUUGCUAAAGAUGAUACAUGCACAACUGGUCAAGGCUCACCAGCUUUUCAACCUCCUGAAAUCGCUAAUGGCUGUGAAUCAUUUGCAGGUUUUAAAGUAGAUAUAUGGAGUAGUGGUGUUACAUUGUAUAAUUUUGUAACAGGAAUUUAUCCCUUCGAAGGUGACAAUAUUUAUAAAUUAUAUGAAAAUAUUGGUAAGGGAGAGUACACCAUUCCACCAGAAGUAGAUGACUCGUUGAGAUCCCUCUUGACAGGAAUGUUGCAAAAAGAUGUAGAAAAGAGGUUCACAUUGCAAGAGAUCAGACAUCAUCCGUGGACAAUGUGCAGACCACCAAAUACAAUGGAAAGAGUACCAAUACCACCACUAAGAGGAGAUGAGUGGCACACUAUGACUGUAUUACCUUACCUUAUGGAUCAAAUUUAUGGAGCUGACAAUAAUCCAACGUAUUAUACAGAACGAGAGCUCAAUGAUGAAUUCCUGUAAGUGAUAAAAAAGUGCACUGUCUUACUUCUUACAAUUCCAUCUUUUCUAUAUUUGUGUAAAAGAUUAAUGAGCUCAGAAUGGUGGUCUCACUCAGAUUGAUUGUAAUUCCAGAACGGAUCGUGUUUGGUCUAAGAGUCUGAUGGUAUACUUAUCAAAAACAUGCAUCAUUUUGUAAAAAUUGCAAGUGUACAUCUCAGUUUUGGAUUCUGGAGUUACGCGCGCGUAUGCAAUAGGAGAGAAGACAUCAAGAAUCGGGUAAACAGAACGAAAAAGAGACCAAGAAUGUCGAGCCUAGUCAUGUAAACAAACCAAACCGACGACAGGGUGGCAAGUCGAGGUGGCGGAAACCCAUAUCCUACAUUGGUGCGAAAAAAUUUUCCUCCUGCAAACCGUCGUGAUUAUUCAUUGUACUUGCUAUAGCUCGUACGAUUUCAUGCUCAAAUUUUGCUGCCAGUGACAGCUAUGAAUUAUUUCUCUGCAUCGGAGAGAUGGAUUUUAGAGAACAUGAUGAUUUAAUUGAGAGUGCUGAAUAUUAUUAUGUAAUUCAAGAGUCCAUAGCUUUACUUAUACGAAUUGCGCAGUCUUUCAAAAUUUGAAAAUCUAGCUAGGUUUUUUUUUUAAAUCAAACUUUACUAUAUGUAAAAAUGUUUUAUACCAAUUCACUUUUUUCUGAUGAAAAAUCUGCAUGUAAGCAAUCAUAGUUGCUUCCAAGAGCAGCUUCUUCAUAAUUGCAAUCAUAUUCCAGAUGCUUAUAUUCAUCGGGUCUGUAAUAUAUCAGAACUCUUUUACAUCAACGACAAAUUUUAUUCCAAAUAUCUUAAAAAUGCAUCGAACGAGUAUCCAGCACUCUUUAUUCAUCUCGCGUUACAAGAACGUUGUGUCUUAAUUUGCGAAUAAAACUGUUGUUAAGUUUUUACGCAAAGCACAAGUGGUGUAUUGUCAAGCGUGAAAUUUUAAUGGAACUAGUAUGGAAGCUCAGUAUUAAUAGAUAGAAUGAGUAGCAUGUGAAGACAAAUUUUGUACACCAUCACGAGUUAUCAACUGUGAAAAGAAUUGAAACAAUAAGUACUAAAAUGAUUCAUAUCACUUAUGUCGAUCUGAAUAUUAUCUAUACUUACUGCCAUUAUUUGAAUACACAAAUUAAAAGUUUGAGACUUUAUGACAUAAUGUACUUUACUUACUUUUUAACCAGAUGGAUGAUGGAAUACUGUAUUAAAUUUAUUAGCUCGUUUGUUUUGAUGAUGUGUCGUAAAGGGAAUCUAAAAAAAUUGCGAUUGUAUAUAAAUAUCGUUAAUUCAAAGUACAGUUAGAAAAAUGACAAAAAAAAAGUUUCUUUGGAAAAUCGGUAAUGGUACUUGUAAUAUAAAUUUGUUGUCAAAAAUUCUGUAAGUAACUUUUAAAUGUUUAUUAUUAAUUUAAUUUUUGGACAAGUCAAUUGCUUUAUUAAAAAAUUGUUAUGCCUGUAUCAAAGUUGAUAGUUAAAAGACGAAUAUAAUAGCUGCGAUUAUUAUGCGACGAGAAUUAAACUGUCUUAUUGUACAUAUAUAUAAAAUGUAAUGAAAAUUGCAAGGCGUUAUCCAAGUAUUAAAAAUUUUUUUUAAAAUUAUGUUAUGAAGAUGUUAAACAUUACAAUGUUAUAAUCGUGUUAGGUAUGAUGCAUCUUCAGCUUUGUUUUCGUUAAAAGUAUAAUAAUUGUAAAUUACCUCUACGUUGCAACAAAAAAAGAAAUCAAUGUGCCAUAUAUUUAUUUUUUAAAUCUUAUUAUUUAGAUGGGGUGCAACAAUACAGAUGGAGUAAAAAUGAAAAAGAACCAAAAGAGUUUUAAAAAUAAAGUUUUGUCUUGCUUUGAA